rnacentral:rRNA from 1 species
UCUUUUUCCACCGGAGCUUGCUCCACCGGAAAAAGAAGAGUGGCGAACGGGUGAGUAACACGUGGGUAACCUGCCCAUCAGAAGGGGAUAACACUUGGAAACAGGUGCUAAUACCGUAUAACAAUCGAAACCGCAUGGUUUUGAUUUGAAAGGCGCUUUCGGGUGUCGCUGAUGGAUGGACCCGCGGUGCAUUAGCUAGUUGGUGAGGUAACGGCUCACCAAGGCCACGAUGCAUAGCCGACCUGAGAGGGUGAUCGGCCACAUUGGGACUGAGACACGGCCCAAACUCCUACGGGAGGCAGCAGUAGGGAAUCUUCGGCAAUGGACGAAAGUCUGACCGAGCAACGCCGCGUGAGUGAAGAAGGUUUUCGGAUCGUAAAACUCUGUUGUUAGAGAAGAACAAGGAUGAGAGUAACUGUUCAUCCCUUGACGGUAUCUAACCAGAAAGCCACGGCUAACUACGUGCCAGCAGCCGCGGUAAUACGUAGGUGGCAAGCGUUGUCCGGAUUUAUUGGGCGUAAAGCGAGCGCAGGCGGUUUCUUAAGUCUGAUGUGAAAGCCCCCGGCUCAACCGGGGAGGGUCAUUGGAAACUGGGAGACUUGAGUGCAGAAGAGGAGAGUGGAAUUCCAUGUGUAGCGGUGAAAUGCGUAGAUAUAUGGAGGAACACCAGUGGCGAAGGCGGCUCUCUGGUCUGUAACUGACGCUGAGGCUCGAAAGCGUGGGGAGCAAACAGGAUUAGAUACCCUGGUAGUCCACGCCGUAAACGAUGAGUGCUAAGUGUUGGAGGGUUUCCGCCCUUCAGUGCUGCAGCUAACGCAUUAAGCACUCCGCCUGGGGAGUACGACCGCAAGGUUGAAACUCAAAGGAAUUGACGGGGGCCCGCACAAGCGGUGGAGCAUGUGGUUUAAUUCGAAGCAACGCGAAGAACCUUACCAGGUCUUGACAUCCUUUGACCACUCUAGAGAUAGAGCUUCCCCUUCGGGGGCAAAGUGACAGGUGGUGCAUGGUUGUCGUCAGCUCGUGUCGUGAGAUGUUGGGUUAAAGUCCCGCAACGAGCGCAACCCUUAUUGUUAGUUGCCAUCAUUCAGUUGGGCACUCUAGCAAGACU